rnacentral:snRNA from 1 species
AGAUGUGGGGGCGAUCUGGCUGCAACAUUGGUCACCCCCCUGAUUGCCAGGGUUGAUUCAGCUGAUCUGGCUGGCUAGGCAGGUGUCCCCUUCUUCCCCCAACGAUCCAUUUGCGUCCCCUCUGAAACUGUACUCUCCAUUGAAGAGGACAACCACCCCCAAUAGAGGAGGACCGUUCCUCAGUCAGGGGCACACGAGUAGCUGCGCUCCCCUGGUAGCACCUCCAAACAAGCUCUCCAGAAGCUAUUGCCAGAUUCAGUGUCAUGAAGCUCCUCUAUGUCCUGAGAGUUUUACAGAUUUGGCUCUUGCUGUUUAGAUCACGGGUGUGUUUUGGGUUAUGU